GACGAACGCUGGCGGCACGCCUAACACAUGCAAGUCGAACGGACUUAACAGGGCUUGCUUUUUUACGUUAGUGGCGGACGGGUGAGUAACACGUGAGCAACCUGCCUCUGAGAGUGGGAUAGCUUCUGGAAACGGAUGGUAAUACCCCAUAAAAUAUCAAUAUCGCUUGAUAGAUAUAUCAAAGAAAUUCGCUCAGAGAUGGGCUCGCGUCUGAUUAGAUAGUUGGUGAGGUAACGGCUCACCAAGUCGACGAUCAGUAGCCGGACUGAGAGGUUGAACGGCGACAUUGGGACAGAGACACGGCCCAGACGCGUGGGGGAGGCAGCAGUGGGGAAUAUUGCACAAUGGAGGGAACGCUGAUGCAGCGAGGCCGCGUGGAGGAAGAAGGUGUUCGGAAUGUAAACUCCUUUUAACAGAGACGAUAAUGACGGAACCGGAAGAAAAAGCUCCGGCUAACUACGU
rnacentral:rRNA from 1 species